CAGUCAUGUCAUAUUGAAACACAGACUCUUGUAAGAUCACCGAAGUUAAGCAAUGUCGAGUUUGACCAGUACCUAGAUGGGUGACCACUUGAGAAUACCAAGUCCUGUAA